GCAAGUCGAACGGGAUCCAUCGGGCUUUGCUUGGUGGUGAGAGUGGCGAACGGGUGAGUAAUGCGUGACCGACCUGCCCCAUGCACCGGAAUAGCUCCUGGAAACGGGUGGUAAUGCCGGAUGCUCCAUCACACCGCAUGGUGUGUUGGGAAAGCCUUUGCGGCAUGGGAUGGGGUCGCGUCCUAUCAGCUUGAUGGCGGGGUAACGGCCCACCAUGGCUUCGACGGGUAGCCGGCCUGAGAGGGCGACCGGCCACAUUGGGACUGAGAUACGGCCCAGACUCCUACGGGAGGCAGCAGUGGGGAAUAUUGCACAAUGGGCGCAAGCCUGAUGCAGCGACGCCGCGUGAGGGAUGGAGGCCUUCGGGUUGUAAACCUCUUUUGUUAGGGAGCAAGGCACUUUGUGUUGAGUGUACCUUUCGAAUAAGCACCGGCUAACUACGUGCCAGCAGCCGCGGUAAUACGUAGGGUGCAAGCGUUAUCCGGAAUUAUUGGGCGUAAAGGGCUCGUAGGCGGUUCGUCGCGUCCGGUGUGAAAGUCCAUCGCUUAACGGUGGAUCCGCGCCGGGUACGGGCGGGCUUGAGUGCGGUAGGGGAGACUGGAAUUCCCGGUGUAACGGUGGAAUGUGUAGAUAUCGGGAAGAACACCAAUGGCGAAGGCAGGUCUCUGGGCC
rnacentral:rRNA from 1 species